GACGAACGCUGGCGGCGUGCUUAACACAUGCAAGUCGAGCGACGCUCUUCCUUCGGUGAGAUGACGGAGCGGCGAACGGGUGAGUAACACGUGGGCAACCUGCCCCUAGCUCUGUGACAACACCGCGAAACCGGUGCUAAUACCGGAUACGACAUCGCUCGGCAUCUCUCGAUGUGUACAGUGUUUUCGGCUAGGGAUGGGCCCGCGGCCUAUCAGCUUGUUUGUGUGGUAAUGGCCCACCAAGGCGACGACGGGUAGCCGGCCUGGGAGGGCGACCGGCCACAGUGGGACUGAGACACGGCCCAGAGUCCUACGGGAGGCAGCAGGGGGGAAGAUUGAGCAAGGGGCGAAAGCCUGACGCAGCGACGCCGCGUGAGGGAUGACGGCCUUCGGGUUGUAAACCUCUUUCAGCAGGGACGAAGUCAGACGGUACCUGCAGAAGAAGCACCGGCCAACUACGUG
rnacentral:rRNA from 1 species